rnacentral:rRNA from 1 species
GAUGAACGCUGGCGGCGUGCCUAACACAUGCAAGUCGAGCGAUUUACUUCGGUAAAGAGCGGCGGACGGGUGAGUAACGCGUGGGUAACCUGCCCUGUACACACGGAUAACAUACCGAAAGGUAUGCUAAUACGAGAUAAUAUGCUUUUAUCGCAUGGUAGAAGUAUCAAAGCUUUUGCGGUACAGGAUGGACCCGCGUCUGAUUAGCUAGUUGGUGAGGUAACGGCUCACCAAGGCGACGAUCAGUAGCCGACCUGAGAGGGUGAUCGGCCACAUUGGAACUGGGACACGGUCCAAACUCCUACGGGAGGCAGCAGUGGGGAAUAUUGCACAAUGGGCGAAAGCCUGAUGCAGCAACGCCGCGUGAGCGAUGAAGGCCUUCGGGUCGUAAAGCUCUGUCCUCAAGGAAGAUAAUGACGGUACUUGAGGAGGAAGCCCCGGCUAACUACGUG